rnacentral:lncRNA from 1 species
CUAAGCCUCAGCUUCCUUAUCUGCAAAAUGAGGGCGCUGGACCAGAUAAGUGGGUGCCUCAGAGGCUGCCGCUGCGACAAGGGGACCAAAUGGGGUUCUGAGUAACGCAGGCAGGUGCGAAGGAGAAAGAAAAAAGGCUCAGCAAACCACCUGUAGGCAACCAUUUACAGGGAGCUUUGGCCACCCAUGAUAUGGUCCCCUCCUUUUGGCCACAGAACCCUGCUUUUCCUUCGGGAGAGCUGGUCCCCUCCCCCAGCUCUCCACCCAUGCCCGUGAUGGAGCCAGCUCAGCCCCCACCUUCCGGAGUGGGCUUGUACCCAGUCAACACCUGCUCCCAGGCCUCCAGGACUGGUUCAGGGCUGAAUCUGAGCCAAUGUUAUCAGGCCCACAACUUUUGUUCAAACCUGUGGGGGAAGAGAAGUUCUCCCUUUCCGGGAGGAGGGACAGAUGGAAACCUGGAGCUGCCGCAUCCUUCUGAGAAUGAUGCCAACUCCGGGAAGGCAUGCCAAGAAGCCAUGAAGGAGAAACCAUGUCCGGAGACACCACGGGCUCACGAUGCACCUGAGGAUGAGACUGUCCGUUUCGUGAGCCUGUAAGAGUCCUGCUCUGUUCCAGUGGUUUUGUUUCCAUCUUUUGUAACCAGAGUCUCAACCUUCAGGUCCCCAGGCCUGGUCGUUUCCAAGGAUCCUUCUAGCUCUGAACCAGUGGGAUUUCAGGGUCAACAAAAUCACAGCACCUGUUUGCCUGCACUGCAGAUGUCUGUGAGUUCAGGGACACACACACACACACACACACACACGGACUUUCCACACAAGAUCCGACAACAUCUCUGACCAGAAAUAAUUAAGCCCUCAUGCUGGGCGCGAUAGCUCACGCCUGUAAUCCCAGCACUUUGGGAGGCCAAGGCAAGUGGAUCACCUGAAAUCAGGAGUUCGAGACCAGCAUGGCCAACAUGGUGAAACACCAUCUUUAUUAAAAAUACAAAAAUUAGCCAGGCGUGGUGGCGGGCGCCUGUAGUCCCAGCUACUCUGGAGGCUGAGGCAGGAGAAUCACUUGAAUCUGGGAGGCAGAGCUUGCAGUGAGCUGAGAUCGCACCACUGCACUCCAGCCUGGGAGACAGAGCAAGACUUCAUCUCAAAAAAAAAAAAAAAGAAAAGAAAAA